UGGGCUUUCAUAUCUCUAGCACCUUAUUUUAGAAAUAAAAUAUUACCAGCAUAAGAGGAAACUCUCAGGGUCUUUGCCCCUGCCUUGUCAGACACUCUUCUUGAAAGUGUGGCCAUGAUCAUUCCCACAUCGUAAAUUUUUUAUUUUUAUUUUUUAAAAUAAAAUUCAUUAAAUAGAAAAUUUUAGUGGAUAAUAUUUUUUAAAAGGUAAAUGGAAAAUGUAAGAGGGACAAGAGGAAGGGGCGGAGACUGGGCUACUAAGGUUGAGGGGGCUGGAGACUAGGGCUGGCAAGCUUGGCUCCAAGGGCCAAGGGCAGGAACAGUGGACAGAUGGAAGUAUUGGGGAGGGCGACCUCGUCUGGAGUCUCUGGGAGAGCCCUGGGGAGAGUUCCAGGGGACAGCUGGACCAGAAGGUGACAGAUAGAAUUGAGGCUGCCCAGAGGGUGAGGGAGAGCCUGCCCUUGACAGAGGAACACUGGGUUUGAGAUCCAAGGGAGGUGGUGAUUUGAGGAAGGGGAACUGGGAAGGGGAGGGAAUGAGUGUCCCAGGUAGAGGGAACAGCAUCGUGUUUCCAGACCUAGAGGUCAGGGAGCAUGCUAGAGGGAAAGUCGGCAGUGGCUGGAGAUUUCGGCUCUGGUGAUGUGUAAAGCAGAGACUUCUAACUCAGGAGAGGUUCCUAUGCCUUACUCUGGGGAUUGGGGGAAUGAAAUAUUCAGUAUAUGUUUAGAAAGGUCCUGCUGCUCGACAGGUUGGGUCAAGGGCUAUGCAAGAGGCAGGGAAACCCAGAGAAGAUGCUGCAUGAAUCCAGAAAGGAGUGGACAGCAAUGCUCUCUGGAUGUGCUAUCCCUAGCCUGCCCCUGCCCUGCUCUCAGCCCUACAGGCUCUCUUCUUGGUCUGCUUUUUCUCUUCUCUGUGGGCGUCUCAGUCUCCCGUUUUGUGUGUCUGCGACCUGGUUCUGUCUCAGCACCUGCGUAUCUAUGUCUCUGUCUUUCUCAGCAUCUAACUGCAUGUGCUUCUGGCUUAGUCUUCCCAACUCCUUUCAGGAGCAGGGCCUGAGGGCACCAAGUAUCCCCUCGGGAAAGGAGUGGAAGCAGGAUCUGGGCAGAUUCCUGAUGGUCAGUCAGGUGGGACCUGUGAACAGUAUCCUUCCCAUCUGGAGACACUUCAACUCGCAAGACUAAGGCCCCCCGGAAAUGGCCCAGUGGACCAGCAGGUGUAGCCCGCCCUCUGGUGGCCCCCAUGUUUUGAAGUCCUUUUCGUGUGCCCAGGUGGAGAGGGAAGCUGGCCCCUCACCCUGCCAGCUCCCUGGGGUAUACCCUAGCCAGAGUGGGCUCAGUUGUGUCCCCCAUUUCACCUAGCUGUUGUGAUGUGCACAGCUGCUCAGGUUUCUUCAGGGUAUUAACAGAAAAUCCCUCAGGAAUGUGAGGGCCUGUGAGCUUGUCUGGAGGUGUGGAGGGCAGGGGAAUUAGAGUGAUGUGUUUCACUUGGCAGCCAGUCUUGGCAUGGGAGGGGAAAUGGCAGAGUGAAUGCUGGUUGCUGGUGAAGGAGAAAAAGGCAGUUAGCCAGGGGUCCCAAGCACAGACAGAACAGGAUGCCUGGAAUAAAGGUGGUGGUCAGAGGGGGUUUGGGGGAAUG
ensembl:lncRNA